UACGUAGGGUGCAAGCGUUGUCCGGAAUUACUGGGCGUAAAGAGCUCGUAGGCGGUCUGUCGCGUCGGCUGUGAAAACCCGAGGCUCAACCUCGGGCCUGCAGUCGAUACGGGCAAACUAGAGUACUGCAGGGGAGACUGGAAUUCCUGGUGUAGCGGUGAAAUGCGCAGAUAUCAGGAGGAACACCGGUGGCGAAGGCGGGUCUCUGGGCAGUGACUGACGCUGAGGAGCGAAAGCGUGGGGAGCGAACAGG
rnacentral:rRNA from 1 species